rnacentral:lncRNA from 1 species
AGUGUGAUACUGACCAGACAAGGGCAUUGUCCCCACUCAGAAAUGCUCCAAAAGAACUAAGGAGAAGGAUUAGAGGAGACAAAAUGUUUUUGCUAAAUUCUUGCACUGAAGCCAGAGUUGCUCAGGAAAUAACAGCUCAGUUUGUUAGCUCUGAUCUCUAAUUCCAUCCCAAAUUCAUAACGUUAUUUUUUUUGUUUGUUUCCAUUGUUCAUUUGUUGUGUGCCUCUUAGGAUGUCCCUUUCCAUCUGGGCCUCAAUGACCUUCCCUGGGAAAUGGGGUACUUGUACUUAACCAUACCCCUGCUUCUAAAGACAAACUGGGAAAAUUAAAUGGAAAUUCUAAAAGAAAGCUUCAUCUUUUAGUUCCUUAGAGAACUAGCAUUACAGUUGAUUACCUAGGUGAUGAUUCAAGCUAUUCAACCCUUGUCAUUCUGAAUGUACUUCUCUUCCAGCUUGCCUUGGAAAGAAAAUCAGCCAGUUAAAGAAAGCAUCAGCUGGAACUCUCUCAGCUCUCAGUGACUGCAGAGUGAACUAUGGCAUUCAGCAUAGAAAAUGUUCUUCCAGUGCUCCAAUAAAUAGCAUUCAGUUUUUAGCCCCAGGGAAUUCAGUGUAGCCCUGGUUACUCCUCACUGCCACAGCCAACACUGCUUCCUUGGGUAGGAGAAAUGAUUUAUGGAGGUGAGCAGCCAUUCCAAACUUUAAUUAAGCACGUAAAGAACCAUCAAUUUUUUAAAGGGCACCAACCCAGAAAGAUGAGAGCUGAACUCCUGUAGAACAUAAUUACCUUUCCAACAUUUUAUCUGAUCUCCUUGUUUUACUUCUCUAAGAUGAGCUGAACAACAGCCAAUCAACCACCCCCACAGGCCACCCUUGGACCAUGACAUACAGGGCAUCUGACUGAUAGUCCCACCAAGACUGCCUAUGAUCAUAAAUGUCCAGCUGUUUGGGCAGACAGCAGUCAAGGCUGUGCUGUGGUGCAGUUUACUCCUGCAGAGAAAGAUGUGCCUAAAAGAGAAGCAGCACCUACCUGGAAGACUCAGGAGACAAAGAGGGAAAGAAAUGAAUCCCCAAGAUUUCCUGGGCUGAGCCUAACAGGAUAUGAGAAGCAGAAACUUCUGGAUUGUGAGAAGAAACAAAGGAAGAAGAGAGAUGCUCUAUAGGAGAAAAAUCACAGACAAUAAGUGGGGAGAGCAAGAAGACAAAGUUUUGUUACUUUAAUUCACCACUCCUAUCCCCAGCCACCAGUGGCCAUCCUGUACUGGAUUCUAAACCCAGGGCCCUAAAUAAAGUUUAUAGCAGGUGA